rnacentral:lncRNA from 1 species
GAACUCACUGAGGAUGAGGUGAGGACAAGGAAGGGGGCUGGGGGUGGGGUCAGCCUCAGAAAGGGGUCCAUCUAGAUCUGACCUUGGUCUGCCUGCCAGGUGGAACGUGUGAUCACCAUUAUGCAGAAUCCACGCCAGUACAAGAUCCCAGACUGGUUCUUGAACAGACAGAAGGAUGUAAAGGAUGGAAAAUACAGCCAGGUCCUAGCCAAUGGUCUGGACAACAAGCUCCGUGAAGACCUGGAGCGACUGAAGAAGAUUCGGGCCCAUAGAGGGCUGCGUCACUUCUGGGGCCUUCGUGUCCGAGGCCAGCACACCAAGACCACUGGCCGCCGUGGCCGCACCGUGGGUGUGUCCAAGAAGAAAUAAGUCUGUAGGCCUUGUCUGUUAAUAAAUAGUUUAUAUACCUAUGG